rnacentral:rRNA from 1 species
UUGCACAAUGGGCGCAAGCUGAUGCAGCGACGCCGCGUGAGGGAUGACGGCCUUCGGGUUGUAAACCUCUUUCAGCACAGACGAAGCGUGAGUHACGGUAUGUGCAGAAGAAGGACCGGCCAACUACGUGCCAGCAGCCGCGGUAAUACGUAGGGUCCGAGCGUUGUCCGGAAUUACUGGGCGUAAAGAGCUCGUAGGUGGUUUGUCGCGUUGUUCGUGAAAACUCACAGCUUAACUGUGGGCGUGCGGGCGAUACGGGCAGACUUGAGUACUGCAGGGGAGACUGGAAUUCCUGGUGUAGCGGUGGAAUGCGCAGAUAUCAGGAGGAACACCGGUGGCGAAGGCGGGUCUCUGGGCAGUAACUGACGCUGAGGAGCGAAAGCGUGGGGAGCGAACAGGAUUAGAUACCCUGGUAGUCCACGCCGUAAACGGUGGGUACUAGGUGUGGGUUUCCUUCCUUGGGAUCCGUGCCGUUACUAACGCAUUAAGUACCCCGCCUGGGGAGUACGGCCGCAAGGCUAAAACUCAAAGAAAUUGACGGGGGCCCGCACAAGCGGCGGAGCAUGUGGAUUAAUUCGAUGCAACGCGAAGAACCUUACCUGGGUUUGACAUGCACAGGACGCUGGUAGAGAUAUCAGUUCCCUUGUGGUCUGUGUGCAGGUGGUGCAUGGCUGUCGUCAGCUCGUGUCGUGAGAUGUUGGGUUAAGUCCCGCAACGAGCGCAACCCUUGUCCUAUGUUGCCAGUGGGUUAUGCCGGGGACUCGUAGGAGACUGCCGGGGUCAACUCGGAGGAAGGUGGGGAUGACGUCAAGUCAUCAUGCCCCUUAUGUCCAGGGCUUCACACAUGCUACAAUGGCCGGUACAAAGGGCUGCGAUGCCGUGAGGUGGAGCGAAUCCUUGUAAAGCCGGUCUCAGUUCGGAUCGGGGUCUGCAACUCGACCCCGUGAAGUCGGAGUCGCU